AGCUAGAGCUUGUAAACGUCACCAGGCCAGAUGAUGACGUCUCACGAAGACUCUAUCAACUGAGUCGUUAUUGAAGUCAUUCAGCGCUUGUACAGUUGUCAAAGACAUUAUAUGUCCGUUUUUGCAUUAAAACAUAGAAUGACACCGUCAUAAGUGCUGAGAACAGAGACUCAUUACAUACAGGGCCGGCUGUGGAUAACGUUCCAAACUUGGAUGUAAAGAUCUGAUGAAAUAAGGAAAGCAAGGUACAGGAUUUUAAUGAAUCUAUGGAGUGAGAUCUUAAGGCAUGAGAGAAAACUCUGGCCGAGUGUCAGCUGUCAGUCAUCACAGCCCGCAGUAUGGAGGAGCGCCCUGUCGGUCACAGUGACUUUGAUGUGAUGAGAGAUGGAGGCGCUCAAUUAAAAGCCUAUCAGUGUGUAAGUAAAUCAACACCUUUCAGCCUUGUCACUUCAAACAAACGUUUAUUAUACUGCUCCGCCCACCUCAUUAAUCUCGCACUGUUCGGCUGUCAGGACGAGGUCACAACUGAGAAACUCAUAAGACAGGCUGGAAGGAAACGGAUCUCAAAACAUUUGGUCUAACUUGAAAUACUUA